rnacentral:lncRNA from 1 species
ACAUGAAAGAUAAUUCGCCUGAUGCAUCUGGAAUAUCUCAUGUUUGGGAAGAUGACAAUCUGGGUCAGACUGGGCUAUCGGAUACUGCAGAAAUCUUAGACGAGUUGAUAAAGGAAGGGUAUUUAUCCCCGACUGACCUGGAUUUGUCCAGUUCACUGACUGCACACCAUAGCAGCCGGCUGCAUCAUCAGCAGAGUAGCUGGGUGUCGCAUGAGAGUGUCCAUCCAGAGGAUAAGAGGGGAGAGCUGAGGAUCUGGAUGAGAAGGAAACAUAGGGAAAGACUGGCUGUUUAUCAAAAAAACAGAGAAAGCCUGAAGGAGAGGGAGCAUAAACCUUUUCCUGGAAAAAUGGUGAGAUCCGGCCUGCUUUUACUAGAAUUGACCUUUCAUUGUAUGUUAUGCUUUUAAAUAAUUUUUUUGUACUGUACCCCUUCUUUUCAAAGAAAUCUACUAACAGAAACCGAGCAAGUGCUUGGAGAACUAGAGAGGAAAAAGAAAAGUAAGUAACUGUUUGAACAAAUUGUACAUGUCUGUGCACAGGAGACAUGCAUGCGUGUGCAGGAAUGUAAAUGCAUUAUUAUUAUUUGAAUUUGGUUUGAUAGGUUCAUGCUUCUGGAGAAUUACAACGAGAGGACCCGUGAAGCUUGUACUCUGGCCAGUGACUUCACCACCACUCCUCCAGUUUUACACAGUUCUUCACAGCCCGCAGGUCCUGCACUUCCUGCCACCACACGGUCCACCUCUGCGCCACCCCCUGGCAGCACUCACAGGGCGUACAGUGCAUCUGCCAAGGACAAAAUUCUUAAGUCCCAGUCAAGACAAACUCAGCCCCUCCUUCGUCCAUGGACUGCUGAGGGGCAGGGACGGCCUCUGCAGGGUCAUGGCAGGAGACUGGGACUGCACAGACCAGUUACCUCUCUGCCAAGGGAUCGUCUGUCUCAGGUGACCAGACGUGGCAUGCUCACUUACACAAAGAGCAACAAUAAACUACACCCGACCAGCCAGAGUGAGGAUCGCCGCGUCGGAUACCAGAGAAGGAUGCCGUUGAACAAAAGACCCUUAGGAGUGACCUCGGUAGGGAGAGGAAUCCAGAGGGAGCAGACAAAACGGGAAGACGGAGAAGAGGAGACCCUUUGGGAGCCCACCUCAGAACUGAAUAGGCUGCUUGGUCAAGAGGACGCUGACAUAGUUUUGGCCGGGCUGUUGGAUGAGCAGGAUGGUGGAGGCGGAGCUGGUGUGUCAGGGCUGGACUGGCUGGACGACCUGUCUGUGAGCGGCGGGAGCAGCCUCAGCAAAAUCGACUGGGCGGCUAUCGAGAGGAUAGUGGCUGCGGAAGAAGACUGAGCUUGAGUGUCUCACUCUUGAAGACGAUUCAUCUCUCAUACAAGAGGUUUCCUCAGUUCUAACUAAAAGUUGUGGUGAACCCCAGGUAUUUAACCUCUGUGGAAUAUGGGCAGUGUUAAUGCUCCAGACUGUUAUAACGAGGCUAGUUAGAAUAAGCAUUUAAGCAUUUAGAGAAUCCUAACAGCUUUUAUCAUGGCUGCUGAUCAAAUACUUCCGGGUCACUUCAAGAUUUAAGAAACUUCCUAAGCCAAUUUGACAAUUCGACCGUAUCCUCAGCCUUGGAAGUGGGAGAAAGGAUGGUGUCUCAGGCCUCCUCCUAGGUUGAGGGACGAUUUCUCUAUUUUAACAUCGAUGGCUUCCUUCACUCCUCUUUCAAACCAUCCAUCUUACCUGUCCAGAAUAUAUACAUCUGUGUUUGUAAAGGAGCGUCCCUUGUCCUUUAGAUGUAGAUAAAACAGCUGAAUCCCGCCCUGAGGAGCUGGCUCUCCUGUGUUGAGCCAUGCGUUUGUUUAGUGGUUGUUUAGUUUCUCCAACAUACAAGUUGGCACAUUCCUCGCUGCAUUGUCCUGCAUAUACUACAAUUACAACCAAGUCCAAUUGCUCCUGAUUCAACAGCCCCUUCGACAUGCUCACGAUAAAGUAGAUAGUACAGUAUAUUACUGGGAGAGUAAAAAAAAACAAAGAUUUUAUGUGCCUAUUAGAUAUGCUAUGAAUCAGAAUCAUUAUAAACUGUGAAAAUAAGGAUUAUAAUUCAGAUAUUUUAUACAUUAGAUAUGAUCAGUUGUGAUAUAAAAUAUGUCAAGACAGCUAUGUUUUUCUUUUUAUAGAGUAUGCCUGCUAUUAUACGUGAUUUAAUCACUUAAAUAUAUAAAACAAAUAAUUUGCAAUAGAAUAUUGUGCCAUUUGAGUUUGUGUGCAAAAUUUUCUAGAUAUAUAAAUUAUUUUUGUACAGACCCCACUUCUAAAUAACUGAAAUAAAACAUUUUAAAGUGGUUUCA